rnacentral:rRNA from 1 species
UAACGGGGAAAGACCUUACCUACACUUGACAUCCCUUGCAUUACUCUUAAUCGAGGAAAUCCCUUCGGGGACAAGGUGACAGGUGGUGCAUGGUGUCGUCAGCUCGUGUCGUGAGAUGUUGGGUUAAGUCCCGCAACGAGCGCAACCCUUGUCGUUAGUUACUACCAUUAAGUUGAGGACUCUAGCGAGACUGCCUGGGUUAACCAGGAGGAAGGUGGGGAUGACGUCAAAUCAUCAUGCCCCUUAUGUGUAGGGUUACACACGUGUUACAAUGGAUGGUACAGAGAGAUGCAAUACCGCGAGGUGGAGCCAAACUUUAAAACCAGUCUCAGUUCGGAUUGUAGGCUGAAACUCGCCUACAUGAAGCUGGAGUUACUAGUAAUUCCCCCA